CCCGGAGCAGCCCCGGCUGGGUUUGAAGGCAGCGGCCGCUGAGUGAUGCAGGUCAUUUUCAUAGUUGGGUGAGGAGACGCUUCAGACGUGAGAUGAGCUACAGCUGGUAGCUGGCUCCCCCCGCCUGGGAUGUGCACUUAGAUCCCCGUCCAUUGGAUCCAAAGAACCUACCUGCACCCAGGAUCUGAAAGAUUUAAUGUAGGUCAUCCAACCAAGUGGAAAGAACCACGACAUCCCUUUGUAAUGGAAAGUGAGAAAAGAACAUCUGGAUCCUGCUCUCUCUUCUACUGUCCACACACAGGUCAGCCACAAACAGCGGCUUCCUUCUUACAGAAGCCCAUUAAUUCGUUACCUGGAAGACUGGAUGCGUGCGCUCCCUUGGCUUUCCUUGCCACCUCAAGUUUUCCAUUUCCAAUGCUUAGAAGUUUUGUUUGUGAGGGUCCAAAUGUGGCAGAAACUAUUUACAGGCUUCUAUGCUGCACUGGCUGUGGAGGCCAAGGAUGUUGGCUGAACAACUGACCAACCUUUCCAGGAAGAGAUCUGAAGCACAGAAUUUGAAAAAACACCUUCCAAUUUGUCAGGAACAUGGAAAAAGCUGCUGUCUCUUCCAUGUUGGCGGGGGCCCUAAAGCACAGCAUCACAGCAUCUGGUUAACCAACCACCGAAACUUCAAAACACAGAUUUCAGACUCCACUGUUUUUCUAUAGGAACACAGAGCAGCAGUCAAGAGUAGGACCACAGGGCUCUAGGAAAAAUAAGGAGUUAUUGGGCUUGAGGGACUGUCUUCGCACCACAGAUUCAUACCAUAUGGACUCAAACGAGAAUCAACUGUUCAAGGAGCCAAAGGAAAUCAGGAUACCAAGAGGUGGUGUGUGACAAUUUCUUCUCACUGUAAAAAUAACCUAGAGUGCUUAGCAGAAACCUGGAGAAGGGAAGUUUUUCUGAAAUAAAAAGCAAAACCACUAUUUGAUAGUCCCUGUAUUACCUACCUGAGAGAGAGAAAAUUUCCCUUUUAAAAUUCACGUGGCUUAGUUUACUUCUCCUUGGUUAUAUAGUUCAGAGCAUGAGAACUUGCUUCCAUUCCAUGAAAUUAAGAAUUAAGACUCACAUUUCAGUUUACAAGGUAUUUUAUUUGUCUGCUCUGGUCUUUUCAUGGAUUUUCUCCAACCAUCCCAUUUCCACUUCUGAAGCCAUUCCCAAGAUUUCCAACAGGUCCUGAAAUUAUACUUCCUCUCCUCUGGUUGUCCCAGCUCCCCCAAGCCCGUCCUGUCCAGCGGCAAUGCCCAGCAGCUCUCAGCUGGAUUCACCCGUACGCCAAGCACACGCUCCUCCGGCAGCUCCACAUAAUGUCAACGUGACAAUCACUAACAGCUGUCCUGACGUUGUUAUGUCCUUCCCACAUGGGCCCCCUUCACCAGGUAGUCCUGGAGAGCCACGUCCCCUCAAUUCAGCAGUGCACAAUUCACAAUGGACAAUGAAAUAGAGUUGAUACUAACAUCCUGGAAUCCACUGAAAGAAACUGGCAUUAGCAUUAACAGCUGGCUUCAAACUAACUGAAGUGAUUGAAGUUUUUAUGCCCAAACCAGCAAAAUAUGUAACACGGAUUAAAAAACUCAAGACAGCAACUAAACAAGCUAGCAGAAACAGCCUGCUGCCCAUCAAUGAAGAGAAAAGCCUCCAAGAAAAGCAGUUUCACAAAUGAUGAAGAAACUGCCCUACUUUUUCAGAAAAUAAGUUAAAGUAGCCUAUUAAAAUAAUUAUCCAUUUUUAAGUAGCAGUAAACUAUAAUAUUCACUCCAAAUCAUCAUGAAACAUAGUAUGACUUCAGGAUAGCCUGAUGACCUGGGCAGAGCCCACUCAGGAGGCCAUGUAGCCUAAUGGUUAAGGACAUGACCUCUGAAGCCCAACUUGCCUUGGUUUGAAUCCUGGUUCACCUAUUUACUUUCUGCGUGACCUGUUUGGACUUUUCCUGCCCAGAUAAAACGAGGAUGAUGAUAUGGUACUUAAUUGACUCUAGAGCUCACAUUUUAACAUCCCUGAAGUCUGUAGGGCCUUAAAAUGACGGCCAGGCCACAGUCAGGUUGUAGUUGUCACUGCUUGUGCAUAUGUGGACUUUGUGGUUGUUUCCGGUGGCACGAAUGGACAACUGCAAACCGUUCAUUAUUUCAGUCCAUGAACCACUGUACUGACUGUUGACAGAAACCCUUCUAUUAACACCUUCUGACCAAGAAAACACCAGCCUCAGAACUUGCAGAAUGAGUGUCAGUAACUUGGAAGAAAAUCGCAGACAGUGGUAGAGCACUUCAUUAAGAACUGAGACAUCACGAGGUCUGAGUCACGAAUGUCAGACUGAACGCGAAGUUUUAGAAAUGCCUUACCCAGUUAAUUUCACUUGUUUUUCUUUUUAUAUUAGCAUAGAAUGACAUAAAAAAUAUGUCUCAAUACCAUAUUACAUCAAUCUAAGAUUUUUUUUCAUAUUUUAACAUCUCAA